rnacentral:rRNA from 1 species
GACGAACGCUGGCGGCGUGCUUAACACAUGCAAGUCGAACGGAAAGGCCCUGCUUUUGUGGGGUGCUCGAGUGGCGAACGGGUGAGUAACACGUGAGUAACCUGCCCUUGACUUUGGGAUAACUUCAGGAAACUGGGGCUAAUACCGGAUAGGAGCUCCUGCUGCAUGGUGGGGGUUGGAAAGUUUCGGCGGUUGGGGAUGGACUCGCGGCUUAUCAGCUUGUUGGUGGGGUAGUGGCUUACCAAGGCUUUGACGGGUAGCCGGCCUGAGAGGGUGACCGGCCACAUUGGGACUGAGAUACGGCCCAGACGCCAACGGGAGGCAGCAGUGGGGAAUAUUGCACGAUGGGCGGAAGCCUGAUGCAGCAACGCCGCGUGCGGGAUGACGGCCUUCAGGUGGUAAACCGCUUUCGCGUGUGACGAAGCGUGAGUGACGGUAAUGGGUAAAGAAGCACCGGCUAACUACGG